rnacentral:lncRNA from 1 species
GCAAACCCUGACCUCCUCGUCACUGCAUCCGUUCUCUAAGUAAGUGUGGAGGCUGCCACUCUGACCUCAGAAAGGUGGCCUGGGGAGUGUGUGCGCGCGCUGAGGGGCGGGAGACGAGGGGACAGCGGGGGUUUGCUCGCUGACUGCGGGAGCCAGCGCUCCGAGUGCAGGACGGCGGCAGCCUUGAGGAGCGGGCAGCUUAUCCUGCGCUCUCGGUUCCUCCUGAGGCAGAUUAAGGCACAAGAGAGGGAGGAGGAGGAGGAGGAGGGAGAAAAAAAAGGCGCGCUCGGUGUUAAGAGAGGAGAAGAGAGGAGCGGCGACACCGGGACGGAGGAGCGGAGGCUGCCGCCGUUCUAAAUCCGGUUUCCCCGUCGGUGCCUCCCGCUCGGAGCUGCCCACGACCGCUGGUGCUGAACCGGGCGCAACUCUUCAGAGGCACCCGCAACCUUUCGCCCUUCUCCUCCAGAGAACGAGGGAAGCCGCCCAGAGCCGAAGAGCACCGGAGAGCCCGGCUCCCCGAAGGAAGAGGCGCGUUUCUCUUGUGAGGGACUCAGAGGACGGGAGUCUCACGUAUCUGCUUCCAGGGGACCGGCAAAGAUUGCGAGCGCGGGAAGUAUCCUGGUCCUCGGGAUGUAUCCGGCGGGACUCGCGGCCACAGGGCGCCUCUGAAGGGGCAACCCUCGGAUUCCGCCUGGCGCCUUCUCUCUUGGCGGGGAGCGGGGUUUCUCCUCCGGCCAUCGAUCCUUCCCAGAGGCCAUGGUUACGCUAUCCCGCGCUCUCCGCGCACCGAAGAGGAGCAGGUAUCGUUGGGUGGCUGACAUGUGAAGCAAAAUGGCUAAAGUUGACACCUAUCACUCUUGCCCAGCUGCCCAUGGAUUGUCUUUGAAAACUGUUGAUGAUGACCCUAACAAUUUGGAAAAUGGAUUUAUCAGGUAAUGCAGCAAAAUGAAACUCAAGCAUUAUGGGAGUAUACUUGAUAGUCUGAUCAAAGUUAAGCAUAUCUAAAACCUUACAUGUAAAAUGCCAUUUUACAUACAUUUUACAUACAGUAAGUUUGUAAUAGGUAUGUUUGGUUACCUUGUUUCCAGCUUCACCUGCUGUAACAUGGACAUACUAGUGGGUCUGUCCCUCACUGGGUUACUGUGAGAACAUAACAAUGUGAAGAAUAUAAAGCACUUUCAACAUUGAGAGUGCCAUUUUUUAAAAAAAAAUUAAUAAAUAUUUUAUUGUAUUUUUUCUACUUUUCUAU